rnacentral:rRNA from 1 species
GACGAACGCUGGCGGCGUGCUUAACACAUGCAAGUCGAACGGAAAGGCCCUGCUUUUGUGGGGUGCUCGAGUGGCGAACGGGUGAGUAACACGUGAGUAACCUGCCCUUGACUUUGGGAUAACUUCAGGAAACUGGGGCUAAUACCGGAUAGGAGCUCCUGCUGCAUGGUGGGGGUUGGAAAGUUUCGGCGGUUGGGGAUGGACUCGCGGCUUAUCAGCUUGUUGGUGGGUAGUGGCUUACCAAGGCCUUGACGGGUAGCCGGCCUGAGAGGGUGACCGGCCACAUUGGGACAGAGAUACGGCCCAUAGUCCUACGGGAGGCAGCAGUGGGGAAUAUUGCACGAUGGGCGGAAGCCGGAUGCAGCAACGCCGCGUGCGAGAUGACGGCCUUCGGGUUGUAAACCGCUUUCGCCUGUGACGAAGCGUGAGUGACGGUAAUGGGUAAAGAAGCACCGGCUAACUACGUG